AGGGAUUUAGGUUAAACCCAGACCAAGAGCCUUCAAAGCUCUAAGUAAGCCACAAGACUUAAUUCCUG
rnacentral:tRNA from 1 species